rnacentral:piRNA from 1 species
UCCUGACAAGGACAGUCUCGGGGACAAGAU